rnacentral:rRNA from 1 species
UACGGGGGGGGCAAGCGUUGUUCGGAAUUACUGGGCGUAAAGGGCUCGUAGGCGGCCAACUAAGUCAGACGUGAAAUCCCUCAGCUUAACUGGGGAACUGCGUUUGAUACUGGAUGGCUUGGAUUCGGGAGAGGAAUGUGGAAUUCCAGGUGUAGCGGUGAAAUGCGUAGAUAUCUGGAGGAACACCGGUGGCGAAGGCGACAUCCUGGACCGGUAUUGACGCUGAGGCGCGAAAGCCAGGGGAGCAAACGGG